GAAUAGACAAGCUUGAUGAACAUCAAAUGCACCCAAAAGGACUUAGUGAAAAAAUCUGGAGGAGGCAAGGCCAAUGAAUCUUGAGGCAAACUUUAUGGACAAUGAUUUUCCAAUAUGUGAAAACACCAACUACACCCAAAAGGAAUUGGUGGAAACAACUAAAACAAACAAACCUGAUGGACAAUAAUCUUUAAAAUGUGGAAACAUCAGAUGCCCCCAACAAGACUUGGUGGAAACACCUGGAGGACAAUGCCUGAUGGAUGUUGACUUUUCCACCCAGACAUACCACAGUGGAUAGCUGACACUGAUCAGGUUGAAGAUUUGGAGAACAGACUAAGGAGGAAAUUAAACUGGAUUCAUGUGGAUUUUCUUGACUAUUUCAAGGAUGAGAAUCUUUCAGAAAAAAAAAGAAAUUUUAGAAACAACAUAUGUGGAUGAAGAAGCAGGACUUAAUUAAU